UCCUGGGCUCGGGGGUCUUUUCUCAGGUCUCUCAGAGCUGCAGAGCGGGGCUGCAGCGGGGCCCGGGGCUGUGGCACGGCUGUGGCACCGGGUCUCACCAAGGCAAAUCCCCCGCUCGCGGCGGGUUCCAGCCGUUCCCAGCAGUGUCUUCCCGGCCCCCGCAGCGUGCCCAGGACACGCUCAGGGGGCCCCGUGCGAGGUCUCUCGCUUCCUUUUGGACUUGGACAGACCUAAUCUGUGAAGAUAAUUAAAGUUCCUGUGCUCUGGAUGCUCCCGGGCGAUGCCGCCGCUGCCGAGCGCGGAGCGGGUGCGGAGCGCGGUGCAGCUGUACCGGUACCUGCUGCGCUGCUGCCGCCGCCUGCCCGAGGGGAGCGUCUGCCAGCACUACCGACACAGCAUCCGACAGAGUUUCAAAGUUCAUGCUGAUGAAGAUGACCCUGAGCGAAUCCAGCAGAUCAUUAAAAGAGCCAUUGAAGAUGCUGACUGGGUGAUGAAUAAAUAUGAAAAACAGAAGAAGAGGAAGGAUGAAGACAAGAAGGACACUGUUCAAGAGGGAAAGCACCAAGGAGCUGGACGAUGCAACUGGGACAUGUCUGCAGCUCCAAAUGUCCGAGGUGCCAGCUGAGAACAUCAGACCAAAGGUGCUUAACUUGGGAGACCUUCAACAUUAUACUUGGUGAUAAUCUUACACAUUUCACUGUGUGGCCGUUUAACCUGAGGAACACCAGUUUUACAAAACAGCAUCUGCAGCAGCCUGGAUGGACAAGUUCAAGAGGACACAGGGAAGCACCAGGACACAGGGAAGCACCAGGACACAGGGAAGCACCACACUGGCAGCACUGCCUGAAGAGAGCUGGAUGUUAAAGACUGCUCGUCCCCUACUCACUGACAGUGUAGGAAACCACACAAAGCUUCCAAUAAAACCAGUGGAUCUGUGGAGGUUCCAGAGAAUAAAGGCAGGGAGAAUUGGAGGGAUACAGAGCCUGAGAGAUUAAAGUCAAGAAACUUUGACAAAGAGCCUCUUCUGGCAGGGUUGGGAGCACCUCACAGAGCCCGG